GCCCCACCGGGGAAAAAUCACCAUGUCUCCGCUCGCGAGAAGCAGCGCGCGUCGUAGGGGAACAUUCCCCAUCUCUUCCGAGGUCCUUGCGCAGAUUGAGUUCCUCGUGGGAGCGCAAGAGGGAACCGCUGCCGUCGACUGCCGCGGCUGGCUCCACCCUCUUCUGCCCGCGUCGGUGGCCAUGGGCCUGAUGUCACCUUGGCGUCGGGGCUUACCUGGUUCCGGAUCAAGGACGUCGAUGCAAUGGGAGGGGGUUAUUGUGCGCCGACGAUGUGCUCAAGAGCAAGGUGCGCCGCCAGGCUGAUGCCAUCCUGAAGCAAGAGAAGGCCAUCUCAAUGGCCGGCGAAUCUUCCAGUGCCAUCCGCGACGCACUACCCGUAGCCCCAGCGAGCUCCUCCUCCGGCUCCGCAGACUCCUAAUGAUGAGAACAACGCCCGACCCUUUCCUCUGAGGAACGAAGCUUGUGACCUCUACUCCGAGGCAACUCGUGAGGUCAGACGCCUAGAGUUCUGCCUGGAGGCUACCCAGGCGACAUUGUUAGCUGCCAAGGGAAACUUCUACUGCCCACACAAUUCUAGCUGAUGCCGACACUAGAGUUGCAGCUUUGGAGGCCCAACUCAAGGCCCUGCAUCUGGCGGUGAAUCAUGCCACCACCAUAGUGAACACCAGGGGCACUCUAUUCACCGACCGCCUGCAAGACAUUCCCAACUGCGCUAGGGAGAUCGCUAGCCACAGAGUCCGUCAGAGGGCUGCAAUUGCUCUGGCUGUGGUGCAGACUCAACUUGGGCACGAGCUCCGAACUCUGCACCCCAUCUUCCUUGAAGGAGAAGACCAAGCAGGCUUCAACGAGCUCGUUGUCGAGCUUGAUGAAGCCACUGGGAUCAUCGACGCUGAAAUCUACAUCGAGGAUGUAGUCAAUAGGGUCUUCCUUGAUGAGUAGAUUGUACCUGAUAUAGUGGAUGUAUCAUCUUUCACCUCUAUGUUUAUCUAUCGCGCCUUUGUUCUACAUUAGCGUAAACAAUGUUUCCCUUUCCAUA